UACAGAGGGUGCAAGCGUUGUUCGGAAUUACUGGGCGUAAAGCGCGUGUAGGCUGCGGAGUAAGUCGGAUGUGAAAUCCCUUGGCUUAACCAAGGAAGUGCAUCCGAUACUGCAUUGACUAGAGUUCGGUAGGGGAUCACGGAAUACCUGGUGUAGCGGUGAAAUGCGCAGAUAUCAGGUGGAACACCGGUGGCGAAGGCGGUGAUCUGGGCCGACACUGACACUGAAUCGCGAAAGCGUGGGGAGCGAACAGG
rnacentral:rRNA from 1 species